GCAGCACUGGUCGUUGGCGUCGUUUCCCAGAUGUCAAGAUAAGGAAAGCUCCUGUGCAGAGAAUGGGAACUCCUCAGUGCACCAAAAAAGGCAUAUACAGGAGACUCAGAAGACCCCCUCUAUUAUAAAAAGGCACUUUACCCUUAAAGAGAGAGGAACAAGGAAUGCCAAGUGCUUUGCGAUAAAGCUACUGGAAGUAUUUUUUUCCUCGAUUGUCUGUUUGAAAAUGUGUCCAGAGCUAAUGGAAAAAGAAAAGAGAGAAUGAGAGAAUGUGACAAAACAAAGGACUGUGACUUCAGAUACACCGCUGGCAGAACUUCUGUGACUGAGGCACUUUUUUUAAAGUCCGUUUGUCUCUCUGCCGCUGACAGACGGGCGGUCGCCUGCCCGCACGCAGCCGGGCUGCCCGAGGGAUGCUGGCUGCAGGUGCGGAGCAGCAGUCUGCCGCUGUAGCGAGGCAGAGCAUCGCCGUCCUGCGGCUUCCCGCACCUCACGCCUGAGCCGGCAAGGCGCCGGCAUCGAAGCCAGCAGAAAUGUUUGCUUUCUGCAGGAAAAUACGUGCGCCUGUGUUGGGAGGAUCCCCAGCUGAACCCAGGCUGGGGAGGUGUUAUGUCCUUGGCUCAGUCGGAACCGGUGUUCCUCGGUGAGCAGAGAGCAGAAAUGUGAUGUUACCUGUGUGGCAUGAGAUACCUGAAGGCCUACCCCAAAGGAAAAGCUCUAUCUUUCUGCAUCCCAGACAUCAGCUACUCACCCUCCUUCUGCCUGCAGUAUUUCAUUGGAUCGCAUUGAAUCCGGUAAAAAAUUGCGAAUUACCACCUCAGUAGAGAAGCAAGAGGUACAGAGGAGCUGCAAAGUGACCGCAGAAGUCCGAGCGCGAUGGAAGCCCCGCGCGGGGCUGGGAGCCACGAGUUUAACUGAGCAGCUCCAUCUACUGCACUCCAGCAAGACUGUCCAUCACGUUUCCUUAAAGGACUGUAUAUAAAGUAAUGUUUGGCAAAUAAAAGGGCUCUGGAGUACAGCAUGGCGGGAAAUUAGUUUGUCUGGACCAAAAUUUUUUGAGAAUUAAGUGUUCUUCCUAACUCUAUUCUUUUGUCCUUGUCAAUGGAUUUUUCUGACGAAAAUGAGGAACAGAAAAAGGCACCCAAGUUGUUGGCGUUUCUUCACAAAAUGUGAGACUGAGACCUAAUCCGGAAUAGCUAGUAAUCCAGUGGUUAAAAUUCAGGCUCCUGCAUUCAGUUCCCUACUCUGCCUUUUUUGUAUAUCAAAAAGAAGAAUUAAACAAAAGGCCCGACCGCCAGGUUGUUGGCUUUCCCAGCAAACCCCGCUCUAUCGCUCUCUGGAGCUGUUCCACUUCGUGUUCUCAAUUUGCCGUUCUGUUUUGUUUCUUCACAUCCUAAUCGUUCCCCUUCACAUACCAAAACUGAACUACUAACAGGCAGCCCUCUGAUUAAAUCUAAAGCUUUCUUUGUGAGCUCUUAGGAUACGGACUAAUUUAAUAUGCCGUCCCUCUCUGCAAGCCGUUCUAGGGAGUUUCAACCAGUGCUUACACUUUAUCCUCUAGAUGUUUAAUCUAUACUUUUUUUAGAGCAAAUAUUUUUAAAAAGAAGUGGCACCAGUAUAAUAACCCCACUUAGUCAUCAAAUAUUAAGGCUUUUCUAAAUGUUUAUUAUGUUGUGAAAUUAAAUUAUUGCCAUGCAUGGGCAGAACACUAACUUCUGUUCUGCAAAGGAAAUGGCGUUAAGUCAAGCAUUUGGCCAUUCAGCAACAGCUCUGUUGUCCUCUCUUCCCUCCUAAUUUGCUAAAACCGAAAGGGAAACCACAGACAAAAUAAGAAAAAUAAGAGAAUUAGAGAAAACGGACUCGCAGUGACAAGGGGUGUUGUAUGUUCUAAUUAAGGAACUACCAGAGUCCGGAACACACAAAUUAUAUCUUGUGGUGGUGCUUAUCUUGCUUUAUUAACCCUUGGUUCAAAAGUUGCUUUCCUUAUCUCUGAGUGUGUCAGUUUUCCUUUCGGAAGACGAUGCUUUACACUGAGUAGUAAAAUUCCAAGAUCUUCCAGCCUGCAUGCAGCCUCAAUUAAGUCAACCAAAUUAAAGCACCUGCUAUCAGCAGGCCGACAAAUUCCUCCUAAGAAGUUACGGCAUCUCAUCGCAGUGCUUUAUUGCCCCUUGUCUGCCGAUCCCAGCCCGACUGUGCUUUGCACGCCUCAAGGUGUCGAGUGCACGAUUUCACGUGAAUGGAUUUGUUUUACAGAAUUUCUUGUAUUCCUGCUUGUUUCCUAACUUUUUUUUUUAAUUCGUUUCCACUCAGUUGUUAAACGUUUCAGGGUCAGAGCUCCACAGAGCAGCCGGAGGAAAGACGACUCAAAAUCUUUCUCUCUACUGUCCUGCUAAUAUGCACUAACUCUAAGGAAAUACCAUAAAAGGGUUGGGCGAGGGGGGUGGAAUUUUGUUCUCUUAAAAUAUUUGUCUUUCUGUGGAGAGUGCCUAAGAUUAAUGCCCUUUCCUUAAGAAAGUGUUUGGAAACCUUUUGAUAACAUGUUUUUGCAGAGGGAAAUACGGACUCAAUGUGAUCCCAUUCACCGGCAGCUCUAGAAAGGGAAGAGACCUUUCAAUGCCCAGCUGAGGGAUCAAUUCGCUAAUUGAUCCCAGCUGCAAGAUCAAUUAACACCUUCUUAGACAUCAGAGACAACACCUGGGAGAAAUUCCUGCUAACUGCUCAGUCACUUAGGAAGCUUCAGUUAAAAGCUUGAACCUACACAAAUGCUAAAGCCAACCUGCUGCAAGGUACGAGCCUCAGGGUGAUGGGGCCCUGCUCGAUAUUUAUUUCUUUCUCCCCAAAAAAAUUUUUACAUGUCUGUAUCAGUUUAAGCAGUAUUUUGAGUUGGAGAAGUUUUGUUGUGUUGACAAUGCCCUUCCUCAGGAACUUGGAAAGAGCGAACGGGUCUGCUCCUUCCCGCGACGGCCGCGGGCCGGGGGUUUGGGCAGUCCUGCGGCGGCAGCACUGCAGAGCCCAGAUGAAAGCCAACAUCUCUGACCCUUCGCUGCCCUGAGCGUGGCGGGACCUGGUUGUUCUGGUAAGUGGCUUUUUCUCUCUUGCUUAUAGAGAUGUUCAAAUGGAUUUUGUAUUUUGAGAAAGAAAGGCAAUCUCAGUAUUUCUUGUGAAAUAAGCUUUAUGCUAGCUUUAUCCUAGUUUGUUUGCAGUGUAGUUGGUUUUUUGCUGGGAUAUUUCCCAUUUGUUUUAAAUCCACCUAGCUGUCCGACAGCUUUUUUGCCUCAAUAUUAUAGGGCACCACUCUGUGACUCACCCUGCCCUCCUUAGCCGAACGUGUAAUGCCUGGUGGUGCUUCCCUGUAUUUCUGGGUUUGCAUUGAAAGAAAAUCUGGGUGCAUGGAGGAAGGCAGUGAGAACUGCUGUGUGUUUUCUCCUGUAGCAUAGGCACAGCUAGUGCAGAGCUCAGAAGCUGCCCUUACUGAGUAGGGCAGAAGGAAAGCUCUGCAAAAUACAAACGCUUCAGCAGAAUGUGAACCACCUGCGCUCUUGUUGGGAGAGCGUUCUUGGAAAGAGGGAUGAAAUGUGGGGUUAUGCAGCUCAAGGAAUUAAUUCUGUGUGCACCUCCCAUCCCUCAUCUGUGAAAUAAGGCAUUGGGAACAAAAGCCAAGUGGGCAGGAUGAUGCUACCCAGGCGGAGCACUGUGUCUUGGAGCUUGGUAUAUGAUGUUCUGGAGCAAUGCGCUCUUCUGUUUCAGAAAGCAGGAAAUUCAAUUGUCUUUCAUAAAUUGCAUUUUAUUAAGUUAUAAAAUGUAAUAGUUUAACCCAUUUCAGCUGACGACUAACUUCUAGAGACAAUAAAAUGGUUUAGGUGAGAGCAUCUGGAAGCAUGACUCUCUUGUUCCAUAUUCAACCUUAAAAAACAGGCAGUAUGUUUUCUAGGCAUUUGCCUGAAACUAAAUAUCCUACCUAUAGGUUUGAGCUAUUUAGCAAAAAGCAGGCUGCCAACGAAAGGUGGUUGGGUGUCUUGUGUUUGGUGUGGUGGUUUUUUGCGGGGUGGUUGGUCUGUUUUUCAGAGACUUUUUUUUUUAGGUGACUGUAGCAGAGAACGCAUUUUUCUUUUGAGCACGAACUGAACGUGUCUCACUUCUUGCUGUGUAAGACUUAACAAUUCAUGAGCAGGGUUUGCAACACGAGGUUGUCUCCCCAGCCCUGUUCAGCAGCAGAGGGAGGUCACAGCACGCACUUAUUCCCGGACACGUCCACCUUUCCCGCUGCUGAGGCAGCUGUUUGGGAGGGUGCGGAGUUUCCACCUCCAGAGCUCCCUAAAAAUCACUGAUGGCUCUUGAGCCCUGUGACCUUCAACAGGCCAUUCUCUUCUGUUAAAUGCCUCCAGCUUGGGCUCCUUCUGUGCUACUCUAUCCACCCGGCAAGUACUAGUCGUCUUAGUCCAGAGACGCUAGAAGUGUCCUGCCCCACAUCCCAGGCGCUUCCCCCCCAGUAUUUAUGUAUUCUGCAUUGCAGGCUUCUAGGUGUUCCCUCCUCGCUUCCAGAAGCCAGAGGCUCUUUUCUGCUGUUGGUCUGAUACGUGUUCGUGGACAAAUCACUUCUUAUGUUUCGGGUCACUUUCCGUAGUAAAAUCAUGUAUCUAUAUAUAAAUUGGUGGUGUAAAUAGUGAACAAACAUUGUAUCAUGUAAAUAAAAUAAAACUUA